ensembl:lncRNA
GUCUCUCAAUCCUCUCAAAUCUGAAACAAUCUAUCUCCAAAUCUGACCUGACUAGAUAAAACCUGCAUCUUAAGAGAACAACUCAAUAUUUUGCUGAUAGGUGUAAUGCUACCUUCUUGUUCUAGAAAUGUUGGCAUCUCCUAAGAUUUCUUCCUAGACCUGUUCUAAAACCGCAGUCUUAUAGCUGAAGAUGACUACCUUGAUAUAAGUCAGUACUGAGAACAUCUUGCAGCUACGUUAAUUUCCAAGGAGCUCAAGACAAAAACAAAAGAAGCAAAAUUUUUCCCAGCAGUAACCUCAGUGUUUUGGCAGGGAUAUGCAAAGACCACAGUAGCACAGUUUAGCAGUAUGUGAGGACAGAUUUGUUGCUGGAAGUAGUCUAAUCGCAGCAAUAAAUGUGGUCAAGUCAUUCUGCCUCCAGUGCCACCCAAAGUCUUUCACCUCUAUAAUACAGUUCAGUGUUCAGUGAGGUGUUGCUUCAUCUAACCAACUGCUGUGUGGAUAUGAAAUAAAGUGGUGAUGCAGUUCCAUCUUCAUUAUGCACCCUCUGGAGUACCUAUUUCUCCAGUAGAAAGACUGAUGUGCAUUCCUCUGUGACAGGAAGGGUCCUUUGCUUUCAUUCUCUGUCCCUACAAGGACUAGACCAAACAAAGUCCUACUGAAACCCACUCCUACUUUAUCCUGAGAGGAGAUUCCAGCAGCAUCUUCAUCAUCUUAGGUUAGGUAUGUAGAGAGCACGGGACUGUAACCAGCCUCUGGGCCUAAAGGGACAAAGUUUUACUCUUUUGAGCAUGGGUGGAGGCCAGAAACUGAGUCAAGCACCCACCUCUUGGUGCAUUGUCUUCCAUGCUCUGUCUGCCUCUGUGUCAGGAAAGCAGGAAGAAAAUCUUUUAAGAACAUUUUCCUCAGACUGUUUCUAAGAGAGAGCUUGGAGGGAGGGAUGCAGAAGGUCACCUGACCCCUUGCUAAUACAUGAAAAGUUGUUUUCCCAAGUCUCACAUGGUGAUUUCUGUCUAGGCUGGAUCCACGAAAACACUGCUAAACUCCUACUGAGACCGAGUAGAAACCAGGUGCCUGAAAGCCCCUUGCAGAUCUACCCUUUCCUAUCAGGAUUUGUAUCCUUCCUCUCAUCAAUGUUUGUGAUAAAACAAGCGUCAUAGAUUGACGGGCAAAGCAGUGGUGAUCAACCAUUGAUUAUCAGCUACUGCACUAUUGCUGUUACCCGGUGAACCAGAAAUAAUAGGGAAAAUGAUAGCUUAAGAAAGAUUUGGUUUUGAUUCAUUUAGGAUUGCUUCAGGUUGCUUAGGUUUUUAUUUCAGUUUAGUAAGUAAAACUCCUGACAAUAAUGAGAGGUUUGGGCUGGUGUGUGCAUGGCAGCUUUUCUGGACAUCUCACUGGGUAGCUUUCAGUAUGGGAGUGGAGUCUAUGCUGAUAUCACUGUCAAAAGUGGACCUAACUUUCAGAAUUAUAGGGUCAAUCCCAACCAGGAUGUAAUAGCCUUUGGUAAAAUCAUUCUGAGCCUCACUUUUCUGCUGUGCUAGGGACGCUGCACCCUGGCUGGCACCACAAUCUGUGGCCUGAAAGGGACAUUCACCUGCUGCCAGUUGGAUCCUCAUCAGCUUAAAGAGCUUUAAGGCCACCUCUGCUUUUGAAUGAGCUUCCCUACCCAGGAGUUUUAGGUAGCCGUGGAAGGGGUCUGUUUUCUGUAUCUUCUCUUGGAUGGGGUCUGCAGGCAAUGGAUUUUAUGUAGGCACAGCUAAAAUCAGUUCCCAGAGAUAGGACAAAGACUGUGCUCUGCUCAGAGAUGUUAUUAGUGCCCCAUGUGCUAUGUGAAGUGGAGGUCGUUUGUUGGCUUUAAACUAAAGGUUUCUCUGAUGGGGUCAAUACAUGAUGUGGGAUGUCAGCUUUUUAUUCCAAUAAAACAAUUCUUUUUUCUUUUAAUCUAGAAAAUCUAGCCAUAAUGAGUUUCAGGAUUGUACAAUAUGUCUUAGGAAAACAAAACGGCCCUUUAAAGAACUCACUGACAAGUUCUGAAAGUCUCCGGUUCACGCUAUGGAAGCAGUCAAACUAAUUUUGUACUCAGAAGUUAAUUGGUAUAAAUGGUAGAGGAACCAGUUUCUUUCCCUGGCCUUACAUUUCCAAACAUCUCCUGGAGCCAAAUCAAGACACUGCACAAUGGGUGUUUAAAUACACUUGUCCCUAUUCCCCGCCUCGCUGGAAGCAAUGUCUGGAAUACAGGUUGUAAAUCAAGUCCUACGGUGAUUGAUCCAUGUGCCAGCAAGUGAAGCGUAAAAAUAGCAGCAUGGUUGAAAGGACAUAAAAAAAGGGAAAACAGACUAUUAUUAUUUCUGAGCUAGAGGGAAAAAGCGGUUGAAUCUGACAUGCUGGCCAAGUCUGGGUAGCCCUGGCCUUUCCAAAAAGCACAGCAACGGAUUUGCUUCUCUGUGCUGUAUGCCCCCUGUAAACAAGGAGCUGGCCCCAUUCUCUGGCCUAUGAAUCUGACACCCAGAGAUCUGAUUCAUUUCAGGAUCUUCUUUUGAGCGUCCUUUUGUCCACUGAAUUGACUUCUGUGUUUCUUUGGAUGUGAAAACACGUUGGUAGGAUGAAUCACAUCUUUGCUCUGUCUUCAUAAAAGCUGCUUACAUGCCAUCCAUGCAUUUGAAGCACAUUUUGCACCCCUUAUUAUUUUUUUUUUUUUUUUUUCUGAGAGGAACAUUUCUUUGUAUGGUACAGUAUUACUACAGGUUGAAAAUCAGUGGCUUAAUUAGACUCUUUAGCAGGGUCUGUGGUGAUAGAACAAGGGGAAAUGGUUUCAAGCUCAAAGAAGGUAGAUUUAGGAUAGAUAAAAGGAAAAAAUCUUCUGCAGUGAGGGUGGUGAGGCACUGGAACAGGUUGCCUAGUGAUGUAGUUAAUGCCCCGUCUCUGGAGACUUUUAAGGUAAGGCUGGAUCAGGCCCUGG